GAAAAAAACCUACAAUUCAAUCGGCGAUUAUGAAUCGUUUCUUCACCCUCUUUCAUCAAUUCAGCCAUUAUAACUCCUUCAAAACAUACAAACCGACGAUAUAAAUCCACUCUCUUAUUCUAUAUAAGCCAAUAUCGAUCCAAGUCCACAAGUCCAAACUCACAGGUUCAGUUUCUUUAGCGUAUAUGUUUUCUGUAUUUGUACACAGGUUCAGUAUGUUAAUUAAUCAUCUCAUCGAAAGAGGAGCUCAGUGUAACUGACAUUUAACAUCACAUGCUUUGGAUAUUAAAACUUAAUGAGGCGUUUAGUUCAUUGAUGGAGUUAAUCAGCUCGGUAGAUGUGAACGUGCAUUGUCUAGCUGAUGGAACUCGAGAUAUCGAUGGUAAAGGAGAAUAAAACUCAAAGACUGUUGGUCCUCGGGUGGAUAUGUUCCCAUAUGUGUCUUAGGACGAAAGAUGGAUCUCUAUUCCGUAUACUCCUUUAUACUUAUAUUUUGAUUUUUAAAGUAUUGAAUUUUGUGUGUUUUCUCUACUCAUCUCCUAAUGUUGUUGUGAUCUGUUCUUAUCAAAGAGGAGAUCCUGGAUAACUGGUCUGGGUCGGAAGAUAUUCAGUCAUAACGGUCUCUGGAUCGCUUCUUUGUGUUUCAUGGUGAGCAGAUUCAAUUCUGUCAUACGUAUAUUUGAUAGUCUACACUCCCUGUUAGACUAUCACUAGAUGGAGAUUAGACCCCGAAUGGUCAAUUUGCAACUCAGAGUGGUGACCAAGACUGUCCUGAGUCUGGUGAGCUACGUUGGUCAAAGAAAUGCUUUGUGGCCGCAUAUACAAAUUUAGAUGAAAACAAGAUUAUUUGGAAAAAAGGAGGAGGCUUUGAUCCUUACAUUGAUUUCAGUUGUGCGAACAUUGCUUCUAAGUUCACUACGAAAAGCACAAGGCAGUGUAGAAGAAGAUGGUGUACAUAUUCUUUACGACUAUGAUCCUCUGAAGAAGAUGCACUUCUGUGUGAGAUGGCUCGACCAAUAAAGACUAAAUUUGUGUAAGUAAGAAAAGAUCAGUCCACACCAGAAAUUUGAAGAUGCUAGAGUCUAAGGUAUCUCUAUAAUCUAAUAUCUAAUAUUAUAAUUAAAUUAAUUUCUUCUGAUUUGCUUAUGCAGUUAUCAUCCCUAUAAUUGUUCAUAUUGAGCUGUUGCAAAUAUGAAUAUUUUCAGUUGAUUUCUUUGUUCUGAUGGCUUAAACGAUCAUCUCCAACAAUCCCGUUGUCAUUCAUGUCCUCUCACGUUCUCUUUUCUGUUUUGAAAUUAGUCCUGCAAAUUCAAAGGUAAUAUCAGUAGUGGUAUAGCUUUGAAGAAUCUUUGGAAAACACGUUCUCUUAUACUGUGUUGCAAUUCUUAGCCUACAUUAAUUCAUUAGCUUCUUAUAAAGUUGCUUGGUACUCUUAUGAGAAAAAAAAUUGAUUUUAGAAAUUUCAAAUCUAGCAAAGUAGCGGAAAGAAUAUGAUUGGGACCCUGUUUCUUAAUACUCCAAGAGAAUCCUGGUGUUCAGAUCACAGACCGGUUUGUGAAAUAUUUGCAGUAGAAUUUGAUGUGAAGAGUCUGAACAAAAGUAGAUUCAGGAAGGGUAUUCUUGCACAGCUGCAGGAUUUGUUGAAAAUUGCCUCCACAAAAGCAUAGUUUUAACUACGAUUAUUACAGUUCUUUUUGAGAACGAAAUAUAUGAUUGGGAGAAGUACUUUUUUUUCUUCAUUGUAUAGCUAUAUGCUUUUUUGGCAACAGCCAUCAUGAUACAUAUAUAUAGAUACUUUAAUGUUAUCAGAUGA